AUUGAACGCUGGCGGCAUGCUUUACACAUGCAAGUCGAACGGCAGCGCGGGGCAACCUGGCGGCGAGUGGCGAACGGGUGAGUAAUACAUCGGAACGUACCCAGAAGUGGGGGAUAACGUAGCGAAAGUUACGCUAAUACCCCAUACGUUCUACGGAAGAAAGUGGGGGAUCGCAAGACCUCAUGCUUUUGGAGCGGCCGAUGUCUGAUUAGCUAGUUGGUAGGGUAAAGGCCUACCAAGGCGACGAUCAGUAGCUGGUCUGAGAGGACGACCAGCCACACUGGGACUGAGACACGGCCCAGACUCCUACGGGAGGCAGCAGUGGGGAAUUUUGGACAAUGGGCGCAAGCCUGAUCCAGCAAUGCCGCGUGAGUGAAGAAGGCCUUCGGGUUGUAAAGCUCUUUUGUCAGGGAAGAAACGGCUGAGGAUAAUACCUUUGGCUAAUGACGGUACCUGAAGAAUAAGCACCGGCUAACUACGUGCCAGCAGCCGCAGUAA
rnacentral:rRNA from 1 species